UACAGGGGGGGCAAGCGUUGUUCGGAAUUACUGGGCGUAAAGGGCUCGUAGGUGGCCAACUAAGUCAGACGUGAAAUCCCUCAGCUUAACUGGGGAACUGCGUCUGAUACUGGAUGGCUUGAGUUUGGGAGAGGGAUGCGGAAUUCCAGGUGUAGCGGUGAAAUGCGUAGAUAUUCGGAAGAACACCAGUGGCGAAGGCGACACACUGGCUCACUACUGACGCUGAGGCGCGAAAGCGUGGGGAGCAAACAGG
rnacentral:rRNA from 1 species